AUCGGCCUGAAAAAGCUCAACCCUGUCUGUCUCCGCACUCACCAACUUCUGCUUCUUCUCACAAACAUCUCUCUCUGUGUUUGUAUCUGUGCAAAGUUUUCACUUUUGGGGACCCAUUUGGACGAACACAGAUCUGCAUUCAUAAAGAAUUAUGAAGAUACAUUGAACUUGAAGGCGGCCUAAGUUUAGAGGGUGCGCAACUCUCUGAUUUAACAUAUUGAGAUAUCUCUUGUAAAGAUUGACAAUACAUUGAAAUGGAGUGAGUACCAAAUGGAUGUUGCAUGGACCGGAAACCCAACUUUCAUUGAUGCUAACCUUAAUCCAAAAUGGAGAACAGUAAAAAUAUGAAUGCCAAUACCGGAACACAAGAAAGCUUUAUGAUGAAGCCUCCUGAACAAAGACACCGCACUAAGGGCCGUCUUGACAUUGUGACUCGUCGGCUGAAGAACCGCGAACGACAACGUAGGUACAGGGCGCGAAAGCGGCUUGAAGCAGAAAUCAAGAAGUCUUGUGUUACAAAUGAGUCAACUCUACCGCAAGUAGAACUGCAACAAAAUGGAAUACAUAGCCUUUGUGUGACCCGUGUGCAUUGUAAACGAGAUUGGAAAAAGGAUGCAAGAAGGGCUCACACUCCUAAGGAUCAAGAAGUCACACCUAAUGGUACUGUAAUGUUAACUAGUGAAAGUCAGGCGUCAUGCUUGCCCUCUGGAAUCAAGGCAGAACCACAAUUGGAAAGAGAAUGUCAUCCUGAGAUAUCUCAUAGCCUGGUCAAUUCUGAAACACAUAGAACUAUAGUUGGUCGAAGAGACUGGAAAGCAGAUGCAAGAAAGAAAAAAUGCUAGUGUGUUUACCAACUUGUAGCGUGCAAUGAACAUCUUACAGAUAGGCUGUCAUAGAGUGUCAGAUAACUCCUGACUUUGUUGCUUUGGAUGUUUCUGAAGUUGUUGUGUCUCAAAAACCAUGUGAUGUGCUAACUCAAGUUGUUGUGUUGUCUAGGAAAUUUUUUCUUGUUUUUUUCUGUCACCUUUUACAACCUUUGCUGUUGCAGAUGAAGAAAGGCACUCAAUAUGCCUGGAAGAAUUGCCAUUACAUUACUGCCAGAUUUCGUAGACAGAAGGAUGACAAUGCCAAACGACAAUCUGAGGCAUGAAUCCUGCUUUAUUUAGAAAGGCCAGUAUCAAUGGUCAAGAAUGAUUAUAAUGUAUGAUGUUAAUGUGAGAACAUUAACAAAUAAAUAUAUGGAAAUUGUUUCAUAUUUCAUAAUCAAAAGGCUAAUUGAAUUGCCUUCCCUGUUGAAUGCAAUUCAUGUUUCUUGUGCA